rnacentral:rRNA from 1 species
UACGUAGGGGGCAAGCGUUGUCCGGAAUCAUUGGGCGUAAAGAGCGUGUAGGCGGCCCGAUAAGUCCGCUGUGAAAGUCCAGGGCUCAACCCUGGGAUGCCGGUGGAUACUGUCGGGCUCGAGUCCGGAAGAGGAGUGUGGAAUUCCUGGUGUAGCGGUGAAAUGCGCAGAUAUCAGGAGGAACACCAAUGGCGAAGGCAGCACUCUGGGACGUGACUGACGCUGAGACGUGAAAGCGUGGGGAGCAAACAGG